rnacentral:rRNA from 1 species
UACGAGGGGGGCAGCGUUGUUCGGAAUUAUUGGGCGUAAAGGGCGCGUAGGUGGCCCGGUCAGUUCGUGGUGAAAGUCCGGGGCUCAACCUCGGAUCGGCCGUGGCGACUCGUGGGCUGGAGCACUGUAGAGGCGGGUGGAAUUCCGGGUGUAGCGGUGGAAUGCGUAGAGAUCCGGAAGAACACCAGUGGCGAAGGCGGCCCGCUGGGCAGUGGCUGACGCUGAGGCGCGACAGCGUGGGGAGCAAACAGG